AAUAAAUAAUUAUUAAAUAUAAUUAACAUUUUAUAUAACAAUGCGUUCAAUAGUUGUAUCGGUUUUGUUGAUGGCAUUUCAUUGCUUUGGUUUUGUCUGACAAUGAUUUGGAUUAUUCAAAGACAUUGAAAAAAGUCUAUGACUUUGAAGAGGGUCAUAUGAUUGCCAAUAGGACUGGUAUUAAAUCCAAUGACUGUUAUAUAUGUUCGUCUCCCUGUUCGGCCUACUAUUGUUGUAGUGGUUCAUACCCUCAGUGUUGUCUGGUUGGCGGCCAAUGUCGGUGUUGUAGUCGUUAAAUAAAAAGACAUAUUUGAUAAAAAAUUUAAUUAUACUAUAUAUAAUACUACUACUAUAUAUAAAAUAAAU